CUGCUCAUCAAAGUGGCUCUGGUGUGUAUACGAGUCCAUAUCACAGCCAGCUUUGAUGAGCGGAA
rnacentral:pre_miRNA from 1 species